rnacentral:rRNA from 1 species
GAUGAACGCUGGCGGCGUGCCUAAUACAUGCAAGUCGAGCGAACAGACGAGGAGCUUGCUCCUCUGACGUUAGCGGCGGACGGGUGAGUAACACGUGGAUAACCUACCUAUAAGACUGGGAUAACUUCGGGAAACCGGAGCUAAUACCGGAUAAUAUAUUGAACCGCAUGGUUCAAUAGUGAAAGACGGUUUUGCUGUCACUUAUAGAUGGAUCCGCGCCGCAUUAGCUAGUUGGUAAGGUAACGGCUUACCAAGGCAACGAUGAGUAGCCGACCUGAGAGGGUGAUCGGCCACACUGGAACGGAGACACGGUCCAGACUCCUACGGGAGGCAGCAGUGGGGAAUCUUCCGCAAUGGGCGAAAGCCUGACGGAGCAACGCCGCGUGAGUGAUGAAGGUCUUCGGAUCGUAAAACUCUGUUAUUAGGGAAGAACAAAUGUGUAAGUAACUAUGCACGUCUUGACGGUACCUAAUCAGAAAGCCACGGCUAACUACGUG